UACGUAGGGUGCAAGCGUUAAUCGGAAUUACUGGGCGUAAAGCGUGCGCAGGCGGUUUGGUAAGACAGAUGUGAAAUCCCCGGGCUCAACCUGGGAAUUGCAUUUGUGACUGCCCGACUAGAGUGUGUCAGAGGGGGGUAGAAUUCCAACGUGUGAGCAGUGAAAUGCGUAGAGAUGUGGAGGAAUACCGAUGGCGAAGGCAGCCCCCUGGGAUAACACUGACGCUCAUGCACGAAAGCGUGGGGAGCAAAC
rnacentral:rRNA from 1 species